UGUCUUGUGCAUGUAUAUGGACAUUAGAUUGCGCUAUAUGUAGAUCGGUUAAUUGUAUUUCUCCUAAUUGCAGAAAGGGAGCCAAUCGAAUGUGUUGAAGGUAUACGUGUACGUAGAGGACCUGACUGGAAAUAUGGAAAUCAGGACGGCGAGGGACCAGGCACUGUGACAGCCUGUUAUGCAGGUGGCACGGCAAGAGUACUCUGGGAUAAAGGAAGAUCAAGCAAUAUUUACAGAAUAGGGCGAGAAGAUGCCUUCGAUGUUGAGAUCUUAAAUUCAACGCAGUUUUAUUACAAUGCAUUAUUUUCUCGAAUGGCAGUGAGGAAGUCAACCGACUUUGUCGUAGGUACACGUGUACGUCGGGGCCCUGAUUGGAAAUGGGGAUAUCAGGACGGCGGGGAACCAGGUACUGUGGCAGGCAUUGUUCAAGGCGCUGGUAACAAUUUUGGCUGGGCAAUAGUAAAUUGGGAUACCGGAGUUCAACAAUGUUAUAGAAUAGGACAAAAUAAUGCCUAUGAUCUAGAGGUCUUAACCUAGAUAAAAUGUGAUGAUGGCUUAACAUUACAACGAUUCAUGUAAAACUUUUAUGUUUGUUAAUAUCAAUUUGAUAACAGAUUUUAAGUAAAAGUAAGACUGUGUUAAAUAUUAAAAUGCACAUUGGUUUCAACUUAUCUCUCUUGGCAGAGCGAAUGGAAGAUGUGCACCAGUCCAUUCGUCACAUUGUUUUUCCUUCCAGCGAGACUAUCAUUGUCUUGAAAGUUUGAAAUAUGCACUCAAAAAAUAAAAUCCAAAAACAAGAAAGAGAAGAAAACCAUGGUCACUUGACUAAGACACGGGAUUCAAACGCUGAUUAAUUACAGGUAUGAUGGUAAUAAAUUUGCUGGAUCGAAUAUAGUCCAUAUUUUAUAUAGUGCCAUUUUCUCGCCUUGUUAAGGUUUUGUACAUGCCAGAUACUGUGAAAUUAUUAAUAUUCGUGGGGGAAGGGGUGUAAUUUUCGUGGAUUUCGUGUUGGAGUCAAUCCACGAAAUUUAAUCCCAACGAACAAGUAAAAUUCCCAUUCAUUUAAUGUUCAAAAGUUAAAUUCCACUAAUUCAUAUCUCCACGAAAUUGCCGUUUUGACCAAAACCACGAAACUUCACGCCCACGACAUUAAAUGAUUUUACAGUAUGACUUGAUUGGUAUUUGACUGUAAAGAGGAACGUCUAUGGAUGAUUUUAAGUAAUUUUAUAUGCUUUCAAGUAUACAUGUGUCUGAACUGUUGGGUGAAACGAAACUGAAAGUAGAUAUUUCCUGAUGUCUUUGUCACACAUUUCUGUCACUUGACACCAGUGUAUUCUUGUAUUAUGGUCGUCACCAUGUUUGAGAUUUUUUGAUUGCAUAUAAACAUACCUUCAAGGCUAGGGUAAGUCUCCAAAGAGACGAAAGACUGAAAAUACUGAUAAAAUAGAAGUAAUACAUUAUUUUUAUACAGAAAGUACUAGCGGAAACAUUUAUCCCCGUCUUACCUAAGAAAUGUUAAAAUUUUCAAACACUGUGUCGAAAUCAGUUAUUUUACAUAUGUCAGUUAUCAACUAUUUUGCCAGUAUUGAUUUUGAAAGAAUUGUUAUUGUCGGAAUAUGUUCCUUCAAAAUAGGUCACACAUACAUUUGUCAGUGGCACAUUCAAUUUUUAGUGGCAACUUGAAACCCUUUUUGUGAACUUUGUACAUGUCAUGUGACAUAUCAUACUGCUAUAUUACCGAAUAUUCAGAUUAGAUAUAAAUUUAGACAAUAUAAAUUCAAAUUAUAUCAGUUGUUCAUAUCGCAAUAUCUCCUGAUUGUGUAUAAUCAGUUAAAUAUCGUGUUUUAUGACCUGCUUGUGAACAAUCAAAUGAAUUGUUUCAUUUAUCUAUGGUAUCUGAUUACAAGUAAUCUGUAAUUUUAUAACAAAUACUUGUCUAUUGAUUGUGUAAACUCCCAUAAAAAUGUCGGAUGCAAAUUUUAUACAUCAUUUAUUUCACUUAUUUUUCUUGACAGACAUUGUCUUCAGGUUUUACAAAUCAAAUUGCAAUGUUUCAUUGUAUUAUCGCCAACUAAUCAAUGUGAUUUAACGCUUAUCAACUUCUCCAUUAUAGGCGAUAUAUAACGGAGAAUUUAUAGCCUUUAAAAAGUUUUACACUGAACUACUUAUAAAACCGUGUCAUUAAUAUUAACGAAAGUCCGGGUACACGCAUGAUACGGAAUUGGAUUUGAACGUAGUACAACACGAAAUAAGUUUUCUACGUGUUCGUAUUUACCUGUGAAAUGCUAUGUAUAUUUUACAGAAUUAAGUGAAUAAUACAGUUUAUAUAUGGACACCUAUAAGAAUAAACUUUAUUAGCACAUAUUUCUAUUUAAGCAUCAUUGUUGACUGAAAAUAAUGAUUUUUACAUAUGGCAACAUGCAGUAACUUCAAUGAUUAUACAUCACAUGUUAAAAUCUAGUUACAAGCAUAACACAAAAAACAACGUAUUUUAAGUUAUGCAUUUUGACUAACUUGAUUAACAUCCAUCGAGAGAUGUAAAUACCUUUCACUAAUUGAUGAUAACACUAUAUGUAAUUAAAAAAUCAGACUUUUGUGCAAACCUAUUUAUUUCAUUGUGUUUCAUUGUAUCUUUUCAUUAUUGUUUAUGUUUAUAUUUGCAUGUAUUUUCAUUGUUAAUGUAUAUUUACUUGACGACUCUACAUACUUAACUUGUAUUUGACCUCAUACUUUUAUUUUGGUUGAUUAUUAUUUGUACCUUUUGCAUAAUUCUGGCCCAGAGACAUGCGUUCAAAGUAUGCAGAUUAUAAAAUAUAGAAUGAAAUUAUGAUAUAUCGUACACACAAGUUCUGACUUCAGAUGACACCAAAAUAUUUUAUCAUCUUAAACUGACUCAUAUUGAAUAUUUUGAUUAACACGCAUUUAGAUACUAUCUACAGGUUGAUGUGGACACUCCUUGAGAAAUCACGCUUUGAUCUAAUGUUUGAAUGCAAACUGAUCCAUUUUAAAGUGCUUCAUGCUAUUUUACGAUUAUCUUUCAGGUGUAGCUUUGCAAAUAUUUCAUAUCAAAUAUAUAAUUGAGUAUCAAUUUUGCAAUCUUAUAAUUGAUGACAUCAUUUCAAAUUUUCUGAAAUUGUAUGAACCAAGUUCGUCGAAUGGCGUUCCUUUCGAAAUAUUUGUUCAAAUUUACAUUCCUGAUUUUUAUCUAUUUUAUACCUUGUUCAUUUGUGAUGAGUUCGUCCCAAGUAAUAUCAAUCCUGAAGUGUGUUUUUGUUCAGAGUUAAAAUGGGUUCAAAUCAGUUACCAUUCCGUUAUUCCGCCGGUUCAGAGAUUUGCAUGUUUAGCUCACCUGAGCACGAAGUGUUCAUGGGGAGCUUUUGUGUUCGCCCACCGUCCGCCGUCUGUUCGUCCGUCCACACUUUUUCUUCUAACAACAUUGCGUUUGAAACCAUUGGGUGGAAGUUGAUGAAACAUCCUUGGUUAGUCUGCUUUCAAAGUUAUUCAAACGGUUCCGCUUGGAUGUACUUAGGGGCCGACAGAGCUGAAAAUAGAAAAAAUAUUUCUAAUGAUAUCUCCUCUUAAACCGCUGAUUCGUUUUCAAAAUAAUUUCCCAUAACUGGUCCUUAUGUCAAGUUUCUUCUUAUCGUUACGAAUUGUCAAAAAUAAAAUAAAAAAAAACAACAUUGUCGCCAGAGGGCGUUAUCACUUUUCCCUAUUUGUAUAAAGUGAAAAUCUUCUUGUUUGAAAUUGCUGGCCCGAUGUUUAGAUAAUUUUGCAUGAAUGGUCCUUAUGUAACCCUCUUCCAAGAUUGUGUAAAUUAUUACGAUUUGCCAAAAACAUGGCCGCUAGGGAGACAGGUCUAUAAUUAUAACUAUAUCAAAUAUGUAUUCAGUGAAAACUUUUAAAUCUUCUUGUAUGAAUCUGCUGGUCCGAUUUUGAUAUAAAUUCACUCAAAUGGUUCUUGUUUGAUCAUCUACCAAGAUUGUUAUUUGUUUCGUCAAAAACAUGACGUGCAGGGGGCGUGUCUACCUUUUCCCCUGUAUGUAUAUAAUGGAAACUUAAAACAAAUCUUGUCAGAAACAGCAGACCCAAUUUUGAAAUCAUACAAAUUGAAUGCAAAUGUUUCUUGGGUUACCUUUUAUGAAGGUUGUAGAAACUAUCAUAUAAAAUAUUACCUAGCUUUAGAAUUGACAGUGAUAAAGUAUUAACAUGGACUUGUCCCUCUAUGAAUUUAUAUAAAUAGCGAACAGUAAAGAUCCCGGUCUCCAUCGGUCGCAAAGCCAUUUUAGUUUGCCGUCAGUUUUAUCCACGACUCGUGUUUUGUGUAAAACAUUAUUUUAGUGAUGCUGUAUUAUAUUUUGUAUAAUUCCUGCUUUUCAUGUUUGUUUACAGACACUGUUUCUCUUAAAUAUUUCUUUUGUGUACAUAAACAUAUACAUGAAGAAUUCAACGCCCAGGUGGGGCUCGAACCCACAUCGAUGAGGGGCAUGUGAUUUCAAGUCAGCGACCUUAACCACUCGGCCACGGAGGCCCCCUAUCAUAAUUUAUUUUCAUUUUUUGUGUUAGAAUACAUUUGCAAGAUUAUUGUAGUAUUCUAACUUAAAGCCAAAAUUUAUGUAUUAGAUGUGUAAUAUGUAAUGUUUGCUGAAUAUUUUAGAUAACAUAAUCAUAUUCUUAAAUAUUACUUUCAUGGGACAAAUUAAUAAAGUAUUAUAUACAUUUUCCACUUAUUCCGCUUUUCACUUUAAUAAUAAAACUACAUUUAAGUACAACGUUAGGUAAACCGUCCGGCCGUAAAUAUAUAAUAGCGUUAUUAUAUAAUACGGAAUUUUAAAGGUACAAUACGGAUUUUUUUCUGCUUGUUUAUAUUUAAUUGUUAAAUACAAGCCGAUUUUUUACAGAAGUUAUAUAGUAUAUAAAAGGGUUAUUAUAACAGUAGCUCUUUCUGGUGUAUUCGGCCCGAGUGGAUUUCACGAGGCGCGCAAGAUUUUGUUUGUACGAAAUCUUCAAUGUUUAUCGAUAUUAAAAUGGAACUAAGUGAAGCUUUUAUGUUAUUAUAUUAUAUGUGUUACAUAAUUAUAUGUAUGUAUAUGUAAAAUUGUGAGUGUAAUUUUC
rnacentral:lncRNA from 1 species